AACGUAGGUGGCGAGCGUUAUCCGGAAUACUGGCGUAAGGCGUGAUGCAGGCGGGCUAGGCAAGAUGGUGUAUGAAAUCGUCCGGCUUAACCGGGCGUGGUUAUGCCAGACUGCUAGUCUUGAGUGCGAGAGAGGAGCGUGGAAUUCCGGGUGUAGUGGUGAAAUGACGCAGAUAUCAGGAGGAACACCGAUUGCGAAGGCAGCUCGCUGGGACGUUACUGACGCUGAGACGCGAAAGCGUGGGGAGCAAACAGG
rnacentral:rRNA from 1 species